UACGUAGGGGGCGAGCGUUGUCCGGAAUUAUUGGGCGUAAAGAGCGUGUAGGCGGUCUGGUAAGUCUGCCGUGAAAACCCAGGGCUUAACCCUGGACGUGCGGUGGAAACUGCCAGGCUAGAGGAUGGUAGAGGCGAGUGGAAUUCCGAGUGUAGCGGUGAAAUGCGCAGAUAUUCGGAGGAACACCAGUAGCGAAGGCGGCUCGCUGGGCCAUUCCUGACGCUGAGACGCGAAAGCGUGGGGAUCAAACAGG
rnacentral:rRNA from 1 species